UACGAAGGGGGCUAGCGUUGCUCGGAAUCACUGGGCGUAAAGCGCACGUAGGCGGCUUCUUAAGUCAGGGGUGAAAUCCUGGAGCUCAACUCCAGAACUGCCUUUGAUACUGAGAAGCUCGAGUCCGGGAGAGGUGAGUGGAACUGCGAGUGUAGAGGUGAAAUUCGUAGAUAUUCGCAAGAACACCAGUGGCGAAGGCGGCUCACUGGCCCGGUACUGACGCUGAGGCACGAAAGUGUGGGGAUCAAACAGG
rnacentral:rRNA from 1 species